CGUGGAUGAUGACACCUUGGUAAUGCGGAAAACUCACGAGUGCGCAGUGGGGGAGCCAACCUUGGAGAGCUGAGCGUGCG
rnacentral:snoRNA from 2 species